rnacentral:misc_RNA from 1 species
CAACCCUCAAGCUCUGCUUGGUGUUGGGCCAAGCCCCCGCGGCCGGCCCCAAAGCCAGUGGCGGUGCCGUCCGGCUCUAAGCGUAGUACAUCUCUCGCUCUAGAGCCUCGCGGUUACCUGCCAGAACCCACACUCUUAU